UACAGAGGUCCCAAGCGUUGUUCGGAUUUACUGGGCGUAAAGGGCGCGUAGGCGGUCAGCACAAGUCAGUUGUGAAAUCUCCGGGCUUAACCCGGAAAGGUCAACUGAUACUGUGCGACUAGAGUGCGGAAGAGGCGAGUGGAAUUCCUGGUGUAGCGGUGGAAUGCGCAGAUAUCAGGAGGAACACCAAUAGCGAAGGCAGCUCGCUGGGACGGUACUGACGCUGAGGCGCGAAAGCGUGGGGGAGCGAACAGG
rnacentral:rRNA from 1 species